rnacentral:sRNA from 1 species
CUGACUAGACCCGGGAGCUCGGGACGGCGGGGACGGCCUCGGGCCUCCUGUGGCGCCCAGAAGGUAUGGAGGAGGCGCCCCUACCCAAGCUCGCCGGCCUGCUCCUCUCUCAGUUUCCCCCCACCCCCACCCCGCCUUCCUCCCUUCCCUCCCCAGGAGCACAGUAUCCUCCUGUCCAUCUCGUCCCUGGGUCGGACCCUGCGCGGGGCGGUGGCCGGGGGCCGCCGCGGGGCCCUGGAGAGAGCUGCUUGGACCGUGGCUGUGCGCACCGAGGCGGUGAUGCGGCGCCACUGCAGGACGCUGCGCCAGCGGAGCCGGCGGCCCAAGAUGCGCCCUGCCCGGCGUCGCGGCGGCCGAAGGCAGCUCCUGCUGCGCGCCCUGGACGCCGUCGCCACCUGCUGGGAGAAGCUCUUCGCGCUGCGCGCCCCGGCCUCCAGGGACUCCUAGCGCGGCCCGUCCCGGCCCUGCCUCCGGCGCCCUGCGCGGGGAGGAGAACCAGCGGGGCCGCGGCAGAGCCUGGAGACGCGCCUCGUUUUGUAGACUUGUUGGUGACCUCGGCCCCUCGCUCGACGCAGCCCGCGCUCCCCGGAGGGCCCAGGACUUGGAGAAGGGAGCGCGCCUGGCCGCCGCUGGGUCACGGAGGAGGCCCGCCCUCCACGCGCCGAAGGCCUCAAUAAACGGAGCUGGCGCUGCGGGUCCGGCACUCCCUUCGCCUGCCUCUCUGUGGGCCUAGGACCGCCCCGGGAUCUGCGCUUCGGUGGCGGGGGGCGGUGGAGGGGGAAUGCGGAGACCCGCACUUCCUGUGGCACCUGGACGGGGCGGAGCCGCCGCUCCCAGCCUCGGGCAGCAGAGGGCGGGCGCGGGACGCUGGGCGCGCUCCGGCUCUGUCAGCGGCUCCCGGCUGGGCGGAGGGCAGAGCGGGGGACUCCUGGGGCCCCUAAAUCGUCACGUAUCCGUCCUGCUCCACUUUGGACCGGGGCCGGGGGUGGAAAUUGAGGGGAGGGGAAGGCUGGACUUGGUGAAUUCGGAGCAAAACAACCGGAUAAAGGAAACGGGCCCGAAGGGAAGCGGGAGCUGCGGGCCUUGGCUGUGAGCUUGGCCAGGCUAUUUCCUGCUGCCUCCGGAGGGGUGGCCACGGCCUGGGCUCAGAGACUGCCCAGCCCCCUCUGCAGGACUGGCCAGGCUGGGGCCUGCUUUCUGGCCCCUGGAACCGUCCAUUUGCUGGAGGACUGUCCCCUGGUUCCCCCAUCUGAUGCGCAGGUCUGGGAGUCUGUCACCACCCCCCCAAAUCUCGGCCCAUGGAGGAGCAGGGGAGGUAAAGUACCUGACACCUGUUACCCUCCCCUUCCCGGAAAGGCCGCGAGCAGGCUGUGCCUCUGGCAUUCUGUGGGAUCAGGGGCAGCAGCAGAAGAAAGAAGUAACCUCCCAAGCUGACCCUGACCCAGCCCCACACUCGGUGUUAAUGUAUUUAGUCUGUGC